rnacentral:rRNA from 1 species
GACGAACGCUGGCGGCGUGCCUAAUACAUGCAAGUCGAACGCAGUGGGGACGGGUGCGUAACACGUGGGUAACCUCCCCUCAGAGGGGAUAACACUUGGAAACAGGUGCUAAACCGCUACUGAUGGAUGGACCAGCGGGGCAUUAGCGAGUUGGUGAGGUAACGGCUUAGCAAGGCCACGAUGCAUAGCCGACCUGAGAGGAUGAUCGGCCACACUGGGACUGAGACACGGCCCAGACUCCUACGGGAGGCAGCAGUGGGGAAUCUUCGGCAAUGGACGAAAGUCUGACCGAGCAACGCCGCGUGAGUGAAGAAGGUUUUCGGAUCGUAAAACACUGUUGUUAGGGAAGCGUUAUCUAACCAGAAAGCCACGGCUAACUACGUGCCAGCAGCCGCGGUAAUAC